AGGAAGUCAUCCUAGGCCAUAGGGCAGCCAUCAGAUGUAUAAUAUCUUCUGUAUGGUUCUGAAUGAAAAAGAAAAAGCCGUUUGGGGUCUGCAACUGGAGAACUCAAACCCAACUCCUUGGCACGCUGAGAAAUGAGAUGUUUGGGAUGGAGAGCCCCAUACUCUAUAGAAGAAACAGAAGACAAAAGAAGGGUUAAAAACAUUUGUGUUCCUUAAUUGAGCUGGUCGUGAUCCUUGUGACUAUCCUCCACAUUCAUAUUUUCACACAUUUUGUGAAAACCCAGACUACCCUUCCAUGAACAUGAGGAAUCACACAUUGCUGAAUGAAUUCAUUCUACGGGGAAUACCUCAGACAGAGGGACUGGAGGCUGUACUCUGUGCUGUCUUCUCAUUCAUCUACCUCUUCACCCUACUUGGAAAUUUACUCAUCCUUAUAGCGAUUGUUUCUUCACACUCCUAUGUAUUUCUUCUUGGGACGCCUGUCUACUUUUGACAUAUUGUUCCCAUCUGUAACAUGUCCCAAGAUGCUAUUGUAUCUCUCUGGCCAGAGCCCAGUCAUUUCUUUUAAGGGAUGUGCUUCACAGCUCUUCUUCUAUCAGUUGCUGGGUUCUGCUGAAGGCUGCCUCUAUUCUGUGAUGUCUUAUGAUCGCUUUGUUGCCAUACAUCACACACUGAGAUAUAUGCUCAUCAUGAAGCCUGGAGUCUGUGUCGGCUUGGUCGUGGUGCCGGGUUGGUGGGUUGUCUUCACGCCACCAUUCUGACCUCCUUUACCUUUCAGUUGUCCUACUGUGGCCCCAAUCAGGUGGACUACUUCUUCUGUGACAUUCCUGCUGUUUUACCCCUGGCUUGUACUGACAGUGCCCUGGCCCAGAGGGUGGGUUCCAUAAAUGUUGGCUUUCUGGCUUUAACACUUUUGAUCAGUGUCUGUGUCUGCUACACUAGCAUUGGGAUUGCCAUCUUGAGAAUCCGCUCAUCAGAGGGCAGGCAGAAAGCCUUCUCCACCUGCAGUGCUCACCUUGUUGCAAUCCUCUGUGCCUAUGGACCUGUAAUCAUCAUCUAUCUGAAGUCCACACCCAACCCCUUGCUUGGUGCCAGGUGCAAAUAUUAAAUAAUGUUGUCUCACCCAUGCUGAACUCGUUAAUCUAUUCCUUAAGGAACAAGGAAGUGAAAAGGUCCCUGAAAAGAGUAUUCUGAAAUGUUUUACUUACUGUUUGUGAAUAAAUUAUGAGUUAUUAUUGGGAAUAAAUGUCAUAAUUAACAUUAUUCUUUGUCUCUUAGUUCUGGAUAAGGAAUCCAAAGGGCAUA
rnacentral:lncRNA from 1 species